GACGAACGCUGGCGGCGUGCCUAAUACAUGCAAGUCGAACGCAGUGGGGACGGGUGAGUAACACGUGGGUAACCUCCCAUCAGAGGGGAUAACACUUGGAAACAGGUGCUAAACCGAUACUGAUGGAAGGACCCGCGGUGCAUUAGCUAGUUGGGGAGGUAACGGCUCACCAAGGCCACGAUGGAUAGCGGACCGUAUAGGGGGAUCGGACACACUGGGACGGAGAGACGGCCCAGACGCCUACGGGAGGCAGCAGUGGGGAAUUUUCCGCAAUGGACGAAAGUCUGACCGAGGAACGCCGCGUGAGUGAAGAAGGUCUUAGGAUCGGAACUGCCGGGUGGUAGGGAAGCGGCAGCCAACCAGAAAGCGACGGCGAACUACGUGCCAGCAGCCGCGGUAAUAC
rnacentral:rRNA from 1 species